CCUACGGGUGGCUGCAGUGAGGAAUAUUGGUCAAUGGACGAAAGUCUGAACCAGCCAAGCCGCGUGAAGGAUGAAGGUUCUAUGGUUUGUAAACUUCUUUUAUAUGGGAAUAAAACAAGGUUUGCAGACCCUCUUGUAUGUACCAUAUGAAUAAGGAUCGGCUAACUCCGUGCCAGCAGCCGCGCUAAUACGGAGGAUGCGAGCGUUAUCCGGAUUUUUUGGGUUUAAAGGGUGCGUAGGUGGAAUGUUAAGUCAGUUGUGAAAGCUUGCGGCCUAACCGUAGAAGUGCAGCUGAAACUGGCAGUCUUGAGUACAGUAGAGGUGGGCGGAAUUCGUGGUGUAGCGGUGAAAUGCUUAGAUAGCACGAAGAACUCCGAUUGCGAAGGCAGCUCACUGGACUGCAACUGACACUGAGGCACGAAAGUGUGGGUAGCAAACAGGAUUAGAUACCCGUGUAGUC
rnacentral:rRNA from 1 species